AUGCUUCAGCAGGACGUUUACCCAAAUUACUACAAUAUAGAGAUUAUCAUGGCACUUACACAAGGAUGAUAUGAAAAUUUGUGAAAUAUUCCAUAUUUUU
rnacentral:snRNA from 2 species